CCUACGGGAGGCAGCAGUAGGGGAUAUUGCUCAAUGGGGGAAACCCUGAAGCAGCGACGCCGCGUGGGGGAUGAAGGUUUUCGGAUUGUAAACUCCUUUUAGUAGAGAAGAUAAUGACGGUAUCUAACGAAUAAGCACCGGCUAACUCCGUGCCAGCAGCCGCGGUAAUACGUAGGGUGCAAGCGUUACUCGGAAUCACUGGGCGUAAAGAGCGCGUAGGCGGGAUAGCAAGUCAGAUGUGAAAUCCUAUGGCUUAACCAUAGAACUGCAUUUGAAACUGUUAUUCUAGAGUAUGGGAGGGGUAGGUGGAAUUCUUGGUGUAGGGGUAAAAUGCGUAGAGAUCAAGAGGAAUACUGAUGGCGAAGGCGACCUGCUAGAACAUAACUGACGCUGAGGCGCGAAAGCGUGGGGAGCAAACAGGAUUAGAUACCCGAGUAGUC
rnacentral:rRNA from 1 species